UUCCCUCACCGUGCGGGGUCAUGCACGGUAUCCUCCCUGUUGGACUUGGCCCGGGCAUUGCCCGGGUCUUUUUU
rnacentral:ncRNA from 1 species